AACCUCGACCCCCCAGGUCCCCAACUACCCCAGGCCCCGCCCCGGUCCCCUGGACCCCAAGUCCCUCCAGGUUCCUAAGGAGUCCUUCCCAGAGUCACACCCAAACUCAGCCUGAGUCCCUGGGGUUGGGGUCCCCAGCGCCCCCCCCUCAGCAUUCUGCCUUCUGUACCCCGAAUCUCUACCCAUGGGCAUUGCAGACACACACAUACACCGCAUUCCCUUGAGUGUAUUGCCUUGGGACUCCUCCCAGCGACCCCCCUCCAAAAUCCAGCCUCUGAGACCCCUACCCUGCCUAGCAUCUCCCCACCAUCCCCACUCCAGACCAUCCUCCAAGUCACUCACCUAGACUCAUGCUCUGGCCCCCAUUCCCCCUGUAUCUCUCAGCCCACUGUUCUAAGACUGGGGGCAAGGGUGUCAUCCUUAGUGUCUGCCUCAGCCAGCCUCAGAACUUGUAGGCUGCCAGGUUGCUGUCCUGGCACUGGGCCAACCUCCCACUGCCAGUGCAUCCAGCCUGGCACUUCUCCCAGACUGUGGACACAGUAAGAGUGCUCCUGUGGUGGUGGGGCUCGAACCUGGGCCUCACACGUGGUAAUGCAGUGCCCUCCUUUGUCCCUGGAUCAG